rnacentral:rRNA from 1 species
UUGGAAUUGCUAGUAAUCGCGGAUCAGCAUGCCGCGGUGAAUACGUUCCCGGGUCUUGUACACACCGCCCGUCACACCAUGGGAGCCGGUAACACCCGAAGUCAGUAGUCUAACCCUCGUGGAGGACGCUGCCGAAGGCGGGAUUGGCGACUGGGGUGAAGUCGUAACAAGGUAUC